UCAUGUGCACCUCCCCCCACCAGCAACAGUUAACCUAACGGCCUCCUAUUUCUCAGGGGAGGCUGGCUGGCUGGCCUGGAAGCAGCUCAACCUGCCUCACCUGGGAUUGUCACCACUGCGGCUUUACAGGGUCAGGAGCCUCUGGAUUCACACAUGCUGUCACAGCAAAAUGGUUUCCCAGACUGUCAGCAGUGCCUCUAAACGGCGGGAGUUCCCAGGGCAAGCGAUAGGAGGAAGGAGCCUACAGGACCUACAAGGCCCAUGACUGUUCCUCUUUUAGCACUGUGAUUGUCUCCGAAAAUCGGGAGCAAAUGGGAGUGUGAGAUGAACAUUUAAUUGCCAUGCCUGUUCAUGAACGUUAAGUUUCUUCUUCUGCUAUGGCCUGUAUUCAUUAAGAGGCAGGAGUCUUUCUUUUGCAAGUCUUUACUGCCCUCUUGUGGUAUUUGGCUCCUGGAGUAAUUGCACCCUGAUGAGGAUCUUUUGCAGAUAUUUGCCCCAGGUUCAUGGGGUAGCCUGUGGCAGUGGAGUUCCAGUGAAUCCUGCAAGGCAGCACAAAGAAGGCACCUGGUCCAUCUUCCCAGAUGGACCUUUGCAGAAAUAACCUGGAACAUUAAUAUGAAGAAAAAAAAAAAGCAAGUGUUCGCCAAUGCCACUGAUGGUAAAAUGCCAGAGGGAGUUUUACAAUCACAAGGUACCUUAACUUAUAGAAAACUGCAAACCCCAAACAAUUAUAGAUUAUUUUGUUGUGAAUAUUCUAUAACCCUUGCUGCACUUGGACUCUGCAGGCAACAGGACCACGAAUGGAUCGGAAGAGAGGGGGAGUCAGUGGGGUCUCCAGGGGACCUGGAGUGGGCUGAGAGCCACAGCGUCUACUUUAGAGAGAGGCAGACAACAAUCUUCAAGACGAUGGGAAACGAUGGUUGUUAUCACAUGAGGAGGGCAGAAUUCAAAUGACAAAGCCACUACUGGGGAUGCUCAGCUAGAAUUUGAAUGCCCGUGAGAAGCCAGCUCCCAAAGUCAAACAAAUACCCAACCUACACAAGCCAGGGCUGGGCCUGAAGCUUGCCUUCCUUCGUGGCUGAUGAAAAGUGCACUGUACCAUACCCUGCCCCAAAGGGGCUCAAACCUGUGUUUCCACACAGAGGCUUUUAGGAGUCUGUCUCUGAAUGCUGGAUCCACAGCAAACCUUCUCUAAAAUGUCUCUAAUUAACAGGAGCAAGCAUUUUGAAAGAAAAACCAUCUGCUAUUACAUCUAGAACAGAAUCUUCAUAAAGUUCAUGUUCAUGGUUGUGUUUUUAAACCCAGGCAUCUCACCAUAGCUCUGUGGAGCACCUAGGACCAGCUGCAGCUGUACUGUUCUGUGUUCCCCUCUGGGUUCCAUGGCCAUCAGCUCGCAGGGAAGCUGAGGAUAUUCACGAGUGGCCACAGACUGGAAUGGAAUGACACUUAGGGUAAUUUCUCUGGGGCUCAGUUUUGUUUUCUGUAAAAUGGACUGAAAUGCUACCUCAUAGUAGAUGGAUGGGAAUCUUCCAUUUCUACUGGCUCAAUGCUGGGAGCUGCUUCGAUAAUAACCAGCCACAGCAAUUCCAGCUGGCAGGCAGUAUCAGAAGAGGUUCAGGACGGGUAGUGAGGAACAGACGAGGCCUCAUUAGGGAGACUCCCUAAAGAGGUAGACUCAGAGAGCUAAGAGGUCCCCAGAGUUCUGGAGAUGGGGGUUCUGGAGGAGGAGUCUCAAUGCAAGAUUGGGGUAUAAAUCCUACCUAUUUCUGUGUCUGUGUAUGGGGGGUGGGUAUCAGUCUGGCGUAAGAGGCUGCUGGGGGUCACUUUUUUACAUGGUGCCCCAGGGUCUGGGCUCCUGGGAGGCUAUGGAAAAUUGAGGUGUAGACUUUGCUGCAGGUUGCAGCAGGGAGGAGGUAGCAGACGAGCAAGUAGCUUCAGGAAUGGAGAGCCUCAAACAAGAGAGUAAAGAUGUUCAGGUAGAAGGCCCCCAGAUCCUUGAAAAGCACACAUUGUUUUAAAAUCCAGGCUAGAUGUCCUGGGAUCCUUCAGGUAUAACCCACAGGCCUUGAAAGUGAAUGGGGACUCUGUGAUAAUUGCUAGAAAGAGCCAAUGGAUUAUCAAUCAGUAUGUUACUGUGACCCACAUGGGUACUCACAGGUUUCUGGGGCCUGGAGCAGUGUGGGGUACAGAAAGAUGACCUCUGAUAAAAAGUGAGACCAUGGUGGCACGCUCCUCCACCCUAAGCCAUCAGUUCUAUGAAUGUGGCCACUCACCGAUGGCCCUUGCUGAGGCCAAAGGUCCUGCUUAUUUCUGUAGCCUGUCAGCUGAGAAAUACACACAGUCUCUGGGGGUUACCACGCAUUGGCUGAGGACAAAUUUUUCACAGGGUCCCACAAGAUGAAGGUUAGUUUGCGGUCAAGCGAGAGCAAAGCCACUCUGAGGCGUGAGGGGGUGACUGCCCUCCAGUUCUGCUUCAGGGUUGGGGUGCAUUGCCCCAGCAUGGGUAGGGUUUCCUAUCUCAGGCGAACAGGAUAGGUUUCUUCACCUAGGGCUCAUCAUAAAAGAGCACAAGAAACAUACAAAAUGAGAGCAAACACCAAACUCCCCAGGAGGAGGCGCUGUGGUGAUGUGUGACACACAGGGAACUCAGUCACCGGGCUUCUCUGUGCCAGGUGGGGGAAGUGAGGGGAGGCAGGGUCCUCCUGUUGUUUACAUUUUCUGUGGUUUGGAUGUGAAGUUCCCCCUGUAGGCUCAUGUGUUUGAACACUUGGUCCCCACUGGUGGCCCUGCUUGGGGAUGUUUUGGAACAUUUAGUAGGGAGCCUUCCUGGAGGACAUGGGUCAGUGAGGACGGGCCUCGAUCACGUCCAGUUUCCUCACCCUGUUGCCACCAAGCCUCCUCCACUACGGUCCCUCAAUAAACCUGUCCCCCC